rnacentral:rRNA from 1 species
GGUGAGUAACACGUAGGUAACCUGCCUGUAAGAUUGGGAUAACUAUCGGAAACGAUAGCUAAGACCGGAUAAUUGGUUUCUCCGCAUGGAGAGAUUAUGAAACACGGAGCAAUCUGUGGCUUACAGAUGGGCCUGCGGCGCAUUAGCUAGUUGGUAGGGUAACGGCCUACCAAGGCGACGAUGCGUAGCCGACCUGAGAGGGUGAACGGCCACACUGGGACUGAGACACGGCCCAGACUCCUACGGGAGGCAGCAGUAGGGAAUCUUCCGCAAUGGACGCAAGUCUGACGGAGCAACGCCGCGUGAGUGAUGAAGGUUUUCGGAUCGUAAAGCUCUGUUGCCCUAGACGAACAGCAAGGAGAGUAACUGCUCUUUGUGUGACGGUAUAGGAGAAGAAAGCCCCGGCUAACUACGUGCCAGCAGCCGCGGUAAUACGUAGGGGGCAAGCGUUGUCCGGAAUUAUUGGGCGUAAAGCGCGCGCAGGCGGUUAAUUAAGUCAGGUGUUUAAGCCCGGGGCUCAACCCCGGUUCGCAUCUGAAACUGGUUGACUUGAGUGUAGGAGAGGAAAGUGGAAUUCCACGUGUAGCGGUGAAAUGCGUAGAGAUGUGGAGGAACACCAGUGGCGAAGGCGACUUUCUGGCCUAUA